UACGCAGGGCGCGCGCGUUGUCCGGAAUUACUGGGCGUAAAGAGCUCGUAGGUGGUUUGUCGCGUUGUUCGUGAAAACUCACAGCUUAACUGUGGGCGUGCGGGCGAUACGGGCAGACUGGAGUACUGCAGGGGAGACUGGAAUUCCUGGUGUGGCGGUGGAAUGCGCAGAUAUCAGGAGGAACACCGGUGGCGAAGGCGGGUCUCUGGGCAGUAACUGGCGCUGAGGAGCGAAAGCGUGGGGAGCGAACAGG
rnacentral:rRNA from 1 species